AAUCAAUAGACAACUCCUUCGUCUUCUUUCCUAUCGGAUAGUCUCAAAAAAUUUCGAUGAAUCCGACCGCCAACAUCACCUUUCAUCUUAGGUGGAGUUAUUGUGAAGGCAGAAAAACAAAUAACUCAAAAUCGAUUAACUGUUUGAAAAAUCGAUGAGAAAGAGAUUACCUGAGAAUCGGAUGUGGUUGAGCAUGAUGGAGCUCGCCGGAGAGGCUGAGGAGCUCGUCGGAAAAGUCUGAAAUUUCAGAAAAUUUCUAGAAGAUCGAGUGAAAUAGGAAAAGGACCGAGUGAGAAAAAUCAAAUUACUCAAUGGAUUGAAAAAGAUCUGAAUAUGGAGAAAAGAAAACAAAUAGAAACGGUUUUGGGGAUUUGAGAAAGAAAAAAAAAUUGUAAUACCAAUUAAAUGGAGAAGAAUACCCAGAAAAUCAAUCAUUUUUCUUUAA